rnacentral:rRNA from 1 species
CGGCGGCCAUAGCAGGGGAGGCACACCCGGUCCCAUGCCGAACCCGGAAGUUAAGCCCCGAGCGCCGAUGGUACUGCCGGUUUAGCCGGUGGGAGAGCAGGACGUCGCC